UCUAUUAAAUAAUAUAUGGAAAGAACAAUUCCAUCAGUCGAUGUCCAGCUUUGAACCGGUAAACAUCUCCUGCUAGCCAAUUAUCAAAUUUGAUAGUCAACUAUCAAGUUGAUAGUCAACUAUCAAGUUGAUAGUCAACUAUCAAGUUGAUAGUCAACUAUCAAGUUGAUAGUCAACUAUCAAGUUGAUAG